AUCCAGGCUUAAGGAUGAUGUUGCAAGCCGCACAUGCAUCCGGCCUCUAGGAGUCAUCCACACGAGCCCACGAAUCUCGAUCAGAAGUCCUGCUUCAGAAAAUCAGCACAGUAUGCUAGUACUGCGCUGAUCCUUCUUUGAUGGUUGAUCAAGUGCCUCCUUCUUCUUGAUUUGGACUCUUCCAAAGAUGAAAAGUAAAAGGAGGAGUUUCAAAUCUGAGACACUCUCAGAAAACUCAAGAUG
rnacentral:lncRNA from 1 species